AAGCCACUGGCAAGCCCCGAGGCAGGGAUGGCCGGCCCAGGAGGGAGGAGGACGACGUCCCUCCCGAAGAGAAGAGGCUGCGGCUCUUGCUGGAGGGGGGAAGCGCACAGCCCCAGGACGGCGAGGACGGGGAGGACGCGCCGCGGCCGGGCAGGGUGGAGACCGGCACCCAGACAGGUGGCGACGGCAGAGGAGUGCAGGCAGAGCCCCCGGGGCCAUGGCCAGCCCUUCCGGCAGCUCCGAAGCCCCUGGCAAGCCCCGAGGCAGGGAUGGCCGGCCCAGGAGGGAGGAGGACGACGUCCCUCCCGAAGAGAAGAGGCUGCGGCUCUUGCUGGAGGGGGGAAGCGCACAGCCCCAGGACUGCGAGGACGGGCAGGACGCGCCGCGGUCGGCCAGGAAGGAGACCGGCACCCAGACAGGUGGCGACGGCAGAGGAGAAGGAAAAUACCCGUACAGCCAACUUCCUUGAGGGUUCGUUCUUUUGCAUCAGGGUGUCUCAAACUCCUGCCCUUAAAACACCUGCAAGAGAAU
rnacentral:lncRNA from 1 species